rnacentral:lncRNA from 1 species
UUGUCAAAACAACAACAGCAUCAUCGUGGGGAGUCUGAAUUCUUCAAACAUCUUCUUCCAAAAAAAUUAUUACAUUGUCGAGUCAUCGUCAUUUUGCCGACUUUUCUUCAGAAGUUGCCCUCCUGUCCAGUUGUCCGGAGAUCAUGUUGAUCACCCCUGCAGUCAAUUGAUUAUUUAUAGCUUCCUGAGUUUGCAGUUG